rnacentral:rRNA from 1 species
GCAUAUCAAUAAGCGGAGGAAAAGAAACCAACAGGGAUUGCCCCAGUAACGGCGAAGUGAAGCGGCAACAGCUCAAAUUUGAAAUCUGGCCCCUAGGGCCCGAGUUGUAAUUUGCAGAGGAUGCUUUUGGCGAGGUGCCUUCCGAGUUCCCUGGAACGGGACGCCAUAGAGGGUGAGAGCCCCGUCUGGUUGGAUACCGAGCCUCUGUAAAGCUCCUUCGACGAGUCGAGUAGUUUGGGAAUGCUGCUCUAAAUGGGAGGUAUAUGUCUUCUAAAGCUAAAUAUUGGCCAGAGACCGAUAGCGCACAAGUAGAGUGAUCGAAAGAUGAAAAGCACUUUGAAAAGAGGGUUAAAAAGUACGUGAAAUUGUUGAAAGGGAAGCGCUCAUGACCAGACUUGGGCCCGGUGAAUCACCCAGCGUUCUCGCUGGGGCACUUUGCCGGGCUCAGGCCAGCAUCAGUUCGCGUCGGGGGACAAAGACUUCGGGAAUGUGGCUCCUCCGGGAGUGUUAUAGCCCGUUGUGCAAUACCCUGGGGCGGACUGAGGUUCGCGCAUCUGCAAGGAUGCUGGCGUAAUGGUCAUCAGCGACCCGUCUUGAAACACGGACCAAGGAGUCGUCUUCGUAUGCGAGUGUUCGGGUGCAAAGCCCCUACGCGUAAUGAAAGUGAACGCAGGUGAGAGCUUCGGCGCAUCAUCGACCGAUCCUGAUGUUCUCGGAUGGAUUUGAGUAAGAGCAUACGGGGCCGGACCCGAAAGAAGGUGAACUAUGCUUGAAUAGGGUGAAGCCAGGGGAAACCCUGGUGGAGGCUCGCAGCGGUUCUGACGUGCAAAUCGAUCGUCAAAUUUGAGCAUGGGGGCGAAAGACUAAUCGAACCUUCUAGUAGCUGGUUUCCGCCGAAGU